UUGAACGCUGGCGGCAGGCCUAACGCAUGCAAGUCGAACGGUAACAGGAAGAAGCUUGCUUCUUUGCUGACGAGUGGCGGACGGGUGAGUAAUGUCUGGGAAACUGCCUGAUGGAGGGGGAUAACUACUGGAAACGGUAGCUAAUACCGCAUAACGUCGCAAGACCAAAGAGGGGGACCUUCGGGCCUCUUGCCAUCGGAUGUGCCCAGAUGGGAUUAGCUAGUAGGUGGGGUAACGGCUCACCUAGGCGACGAUCCCUAGCUGGUCUGAGAGGAUGACCAGCCACACUGGAACUGAGACACGGUCCAGACUCCUACGGGAGGCAUCAGUGGGGAAUAUUGCACAAUGGGCGCAAGCCUGAUGCAGCCAUGCCGCGUGUAUGAAGAAGGCCUUCGGGUUGUAAAGUACUUUCAGCGGGGAGGAAGGGAGUAAAGUUAAUACCUUUGCUCAUUGACGUUACCCGCAGAAGAAGCACCGGCUAACUCCGUG
rnacentral:rRNA from 1 species